UUGUUUUUACCUCACAGCAACCCAAGCUCCAACCACUGAACAAUCCUCUUUCUCUCCAACUGCUGAGCCUGUUCAGACUGACAACACAGUCCAAGGACCUGAGGGGGGCAAGGAGAAGGACACCAUGAGUUCCAUAGAUCUAAAAGUCCUACUGAUUCCUCUGGGCAUGUUGGUGGUGGUGAUAGCUGGUGUCCUAGUCACAUGGAAGAUGUGGAGAAAGCAUAAGGACAAUAAGGCCAUGGACCAGACAACAAACAC